rnacentral:rRNA from 1 species
ACGGAAGGCAGCAGUGGGGAAUAUUGCACAAUGGGGGAAACCCUGAUGCAGCGAUGCCGCGUGGAGGAAGAAGGUUUUCGGAUUGUAAACUCCUGUCUUAAGGGACGAUAAUGACGGUACCUUAGGAGGAAGCUCCGGCUAACUACGUGCCAGCAGCCGCGGUAAUACGUAGGGAGCGAGCGUUGUCCGGAAUUACUGGGUGUAAAGGGAGCGUAGGCGGGAUGGCAAGUCAGAUGUGAAAACUAUGGGCGCAACCCAUAGACUGCAUUUGAAACUGUUGUUCUUGAGUGAAGUAGAGGUAAGCGGAAUUCCUAGUGUAGCGGUGAAAUGCGUAGAUAUUAGGAGGAACAUCGGUGGCGAAGGCGGCUUACUGGGCUUUUACUGACGCUGAGGCUCGAAAGCGUGGGGAGCAAACAGGAUUAGAUACCCUGGUA